GUAGCAGGCAGCAUCUGAUUAAUCCAUGGUCCUACAAAUCAGUAUCACUGAGCCACGUUCUGAGACAGGGAACUAGUAUUUGAUUGAAUUCCAACUGCAAGGCAGACACCGGGAUGGAUUAAUCGCAAAGGUAUAUUAGCAGCAAGGAUGACGCCAAAAGCAGAGCGCGACGCCAACUAGCCAAGGUCAAAAAUGCGUGGCACAGUGGGACAACCAUUCUCCAGGUCCAGCGACGAUGCACGGAUAUCAUUGCACCGCGCUCAGUAGACACACAGCACUUAUUAACAGGUCCCAAAUUAAUAGCGCCAUAUAAUAUCAGCAGGUAUAGAACCAUAGAGACUGGAAAGCUUCACUAGUUUUAUUCCUGUUUGAGUAU